rfam:Schistosoma mansoni strain Puerto Rico chromosome 1, complete genome
ACCCAGCUGACGAGUCUCAUAUGGGACAAAACGCGCGUCAUGGAU